rnacentral:lncRNA from 1 species
AUAUCAUUUUUCUUGGGCGUCUGACAAUUGGUUUUCCUGGGGCUAAGAGUGGGGGACUAGACAACUGAUUACAAGCUCUGUGCACCUAGGCGGUCAUCGUCAGCUUGCAGCUUAUUCUAGGAUGGGCCAUUCUCAGGGUCUCUAGGUUUUUCCUCUUUCACUGAUUAGAAUCCCAGGGGAGACUCCCAAUUUCCUGCCUAGAUAUUAAAGAUCUGGCUGCCAAUGUUCUGGGAAGCAAGUGAGGAACAAGGAAGUGAGUUUCUGCAUUGGUAUUUAUAUGUACAGGUUCAUUUAAUCUCCACAUAGGCCAAAGACCCUCUGUUCUACUCUUUCCAGACUUCUACUCUGGGUAGCCUUCCUGAGCCUUGGAGUUUAAGUGCCCAGUGGGUUCCUCUUGCCUGCUGUCCAGACAGAGUUGAUUUAUUAAGGCAAGGAAGUUGAAACAGAGAAAGAGUUUUGCACAUGUAGAGCUGGCUGAAUGGGAGGUCAA